UGCAUAUGAUGUCUUUUCUCACGAUGGUCUUCCUAAACUCUCUGAGGAUACUGCCUUUGGCAUUGCUGAUGCAGUUAA